UUUAACUUUUAUUAUUGUUGUUAUGAACAUGUCUAUGAAUAUUUGUUAUGUUGUUAUUCUUAAUUUAAUUAAGAUUAAUUGAAUUUAAUUAGUGUUAGGUUGAUUGCAAUUCGUCCACUUAAUUUAUUAAAAUUAUGUUUGUGUUGUUAUAGGUCAUGGUAAAUUGUUUGAUUAAGUAAAACCAUGAUUAUGUUAUUCUUGCAUUAAAAUGGCAGGUAACUAAUGAAUUAAUUAUUAAUCGUAUUGAAAUUUUAAUUAAUUGAAAUAAUACUUAAUCAGUGCAUGUUUAGGGCCCGUUCUUCUCUGCUUUUUAAACGGACUUUUAUAGCAAAAAGUCCUUUUCUUUUAAAAGCAGGGAAGAAGAGCCAUCGUUUCAGAAUUUUUUCCACCAUCGAAGAAGUGCUUUUUGGCUGAUGGAGAAGUUAAAAAUUUUAACUUUUCUUCAACCAAAAGUCCGUUUGGCUGAUAAUUUCCAAUUUUAACCUGUCUUCUCCCAAAAAAGUUUCUCUUCUCUGGUUCUUUGGAGCUUCCUAAAAGGUAAGUAAUUCGUAAUCUUUUUCUCUGUUUUUGAAAUUUCACUUCCCCAAUUCACAACCCUAACAUGUUUCUCAUUAUUCAAUCUCAAAUCUCAAUUUGUGAUUGAAAAUUUCCAUUUAUUUGGCUGUUUCGUGAACGAAAUUAAUCAUUUGCGGACUAAGAAAAUCAUCUGAUCUUGAGGUGGAAACAAUAAAGUUGGUUGCUUUUUGAGUUCGUAUGAGGUGGGUUUGAAUUUGGAUUUAGUGUUUGGAUUGAAGGAAAAUUGAUAAGAGUUUCAAUAUUCCUUUCAUUUUUUCUCUUUUCAAUUUAAAAUUCUGGGUUUGAUUUCAAAUGGUCAAUUUCCUUAGCUCAAUCUCAGUCUGCAACUCCGUUGACCAGCCUUCAAUCAUGGCAAAUUCCGUGAAUUCAAAUGAUUUUCUGAUGAACUCCAAAUCAUCAUCGUCACGGAAACAAAAGCUAGUUCUUCUUUGGUUUAAACUGUGAAAUUUGAUUUUGGAACCGAAAUUCAAAAACGCUACAGUUCAAUCUCGUGAGAAUAUGUAUUGUGUUUAUCAUAUGGCAAUAUGUGCUGGAUAAGAAGGUUUUCCCCCAUUUUUAUAUACUUGGAUGGUACUCCACUAGGAGCGACGCCCAGGAAUCCGCUAUGCAGAUUCAUAGAGCCUUGAUGGAUAUUAAUGAAAGUCCUCUCUAUGUGCUUCUCAAUCCUGCAAUCAAUCCCCUGCAAAAAGAUCUUCUAGUCACCAUUUAUGAAAGUGGUGUGUAGCCUUUCUCUUUAUUUCAUCCUUUUAUGUUAAUCAAUACCUACUGUCUUUUAUUCUGUGUCUGAAUUUUUGCAAUAAGGUGUCCUGUGUGACAUUAUACUAUAUUUUUAAAGUUUAAAGUGUAGUUGAGUUCAGUUUGAUCAGGUUACCAUCUAAUUUAUUCCGUCAUAUUGCCAGAACAUGUUUUGUUUGCUAACAUGAGAUUUUACAUUCUAUGUUUGCUGAGUUGGUCUAUUUGUGUUAACUUUUCUUUACUGCCUAGUCAUUUCUACGAAUUUAAAGCCCCAAUUAGUAUUCUUUUUAUUACACUCGCUGAAACUCUUGUGCAGUUUUAGGUAGCUUUAAUAACCUUUACAGUUCCUCAUUAUUCUUUGGAACUUGGAAAUUAGCAAUCUAACUGGUAAGCCUUUUCUAUUUUGGUACUUUAGUCUGCUACUUUCAGUUCUUAAAGCAUAUGCAAGUUCAGUGCUGUUCAAUAUAUUUGCAAAAGUAAUGGUUAUUGUAAUGUCUAUCAUUGCAGAGGUUAUAACAUCAGCAGAGUUUCACCCUGCCCACUGUAAUAUGCUAGCAUAUAGUAGUUCAAAGGGCUCAAUUCGCCUCAUUGAUUUGCGGCAAUCAGCUUUGUGUGAUUCUCAUGCCAAAUUGCAAGUGUUUUACCGUUUUUAGUUUCUUUUGUUGAAUUUACUAAGAUUUGCACCAAAAAUUGAACUAUUGUUAUUAUCCUAAAGUUUAGAUUUAAACAAAAUAUGUUCUGUUAAAGUGAGGCUAUUUCAAUUGUUGAUGUUUUGUUCGUUUGUGCAUCAAUUGUUGAUGUUCUGAGACUAAUGUAUUCAUUCAUGAAAAUUUACUGGUAUAUGCGCAUAAGAUUGAAGCAGAUAAUCGAAAUUGUUUAUUUUGUAUCUUAUAUUAGAGAUCAUUUUGUUAUCUUGUGAUCCAUCAUAUCUUAUAAGCUUGAACUUCUAUAAAUGUUCCCUUGUAUUCCAAGGCCAUACCCUUGUAAAUGUGCGCUUUCAAGGUUAUCUAUGGAAAACAAAUAGUUGGUCCAAUUGAGCCAAUGCUUAAAACUACAGCAUUUGUUGUCUACUCCGUGAUUGUAGGUUAAUGAAGCGGAGAUGAUGUCUUCGAAUCAACAGAAAAGAAUUGAGGAGCUCGAAGCACAACUAGGGGAAGCUGAGGAUAUAGUUAGAGAUCUUAGAGCAGAGUUGAGAGAAGUACAAGAUGAGUUGGAAAAGCUGACUAAAAACUCAAUACAGUGUUUGAGCGAACAAAAAUCAGGACACGAUGUUGCUGCUUCUGAAGAAAUGUCCAAUGUAAAAACAAUCAGCGAUUUCUGGUCUGUAGCAUUGAAGUUUUGUCCAUAGCAAAUAACUCUAAUCAUAGAUCAAUGCAUUUCAAUUGUUGAUGUCUUAAA